rnacentral:rRNA from 1 species
UCGACCGACCAAUGAAUCGAUAUCAGUUUGACCCGCCUCUACCCCCGUUGUGCCUCGUGGUGCGGUCGAGUGGCAAACCUCUCUUAAUAGAACAACUCCCGACGCCCAGUGCGCCAAGGAACUGUAGUCAAUCGGGACGGACUGAGCGGUCGACCCCGACGGGGCGCGCCCGCUUCGCAACCGAACCAAACAUCACACAUGCUCACGUACGACUCUCGACAAUGAAUAUCUCAGCUCUCGCAUCGAUGAAGAAGGUAGCGAAUGCGAUACUUUGUGUGAAUUGCAGAAUCUCGUGAACCAUCGAGUCUUUGAAUGGAAGUUGUGCCCGAGGCCGUCAGGACAAGGUCAUGCUUGCCUGGCCGCAACGCCACCCAUCGCUCACCGCAUUCGACCCAGGGGGUGACACGGAGACUGGCCACCCGUGCCAGAGACGAUCUCCGUGCACGGUGGGCACAUAUGCAUGAAUUUUACGCGGUUGGACGCAACGAGUGGUGUCCAGAGCAAUACUGCAGACGCCGAGCCUUCCCAUGCCCCACUACAUGGAACUAGAGGGGCACGGAUUGCAGGCUGCCGAUGCAACGUGAGCGGAUCGGUGUGCCGGCUCCCGAAAAAUGAGCA